rnacentral:rRNA from 1 species
UUGAUCCUGGCUCAGGAUGAACGCUGGCGGUAUGCUUAACACAUGCAAGUCGAACGGAAUCCUUAGGGAUUUAGUGGCGGACGGGUGAGUAACGCGUGAGAAUCUGGCUUCAGGUCGGGGACAACAGUUGGAAACGACUGCUAAUACCGGAUAUGCCGAGAGGUGAAAGAUUAAUUGCCUGGAGAUGAGCUCGCGUCUGAUUAGCUAGUUGGUGGGGUAAGAGCCUACCAAGGCGACGAUCAGUAGCUGGUCUGAGAGGAUGAUCAGCCACACUGGGACUGAGACACGGCCCAGACUCCUACGGGAGGCAGCAGUGGGGAAUUUUCCGCAAUGGGCGAAAGCCUGACGGAGCAAUACCGCGUGAGGGAGGAAGGCUCUUGGGUCGUAAACCUCUUUUCUCAGGGAAGAAAAAAAUGACGGUACCUGAGGAAUAAGCAUCGGCUAACUCCGUGCCAGCAGCCGCGGUAAUACGGAGGAUGCAAGCGUUAUCCGGAAUGAUUGGGCGUAAAGCGUCCGCAGGUGGCCAUGUAAGUCUGCUGUUAAAGAGUCAUGCUCAACAUGAUAAAAGCAGUGGAAACUACAGAGCUAGAGUACGUUCGGGGCAGAGGGAAUUCCUGGUGUAGCGGUGAAAUGCGUAGAUAUCAGGAAGAACACCGGUGGCGAAAGCGCUCUGCUAGGCCGUAACUGACACUGAGGGACGAAAGCUAGGGGAGCGAAUGGGAUUAGAUACCCCAGUAGUCCUAGCCGUAAACGAUGGAUACUAGGCGUGGCUUGUAUCGACCCGAGCCGUGCCGUAGCUAACGCGUUAAGUAUCCCGCCUGGGGAGUACGCACGCAAGUGUGAAACUCAAAGGAAUUGACGGGGGCCCGCACAAGCGGUGGAGUAUGUGGUUUAAUUCGAUGCAACGCGAAGAACCUUACCAAGGCUUGACAUGUCGCGAAUCUUUCUGAAAGGAGAGAGUGCCUUCGGGAGCGCGAACACAGGUGGUGCAUGGCUGUCGUCAGCUCGUGUCGUGAGAUGUUGGGUUAAGUCCCGCAACGAGCGCAACCCUCGUUUUUAGUUGCCAGCAUUAAGUUGGGCACUCUAGAGAGACUGCCGGUGACAAACCGGAGGAAGGUGAGGAUGACGUCAAGUCAGCAUGCCCCUUACGUCUUGGGCUACACACGUACUACAAUGCUACGGACAAAGGGCAGCUACACAGCGAUGUGAUGCUAAUCUCAUAAACCGUAGCUCAGUUCAGAUCGCAGGCUGCAACUCGCCUGCGUGAAGGAGGAAUCGCUAGUAAUUGCAGGUCAGCAUACUGCAGUGAAUUCGUUCCCGGGCCUUGUACACACCGCCCGUCACACCAUGGAAGUUGGUCACGCCCGAAGUCAUUACCCCAACCGAAAGGAGGGGGAUGCCUAAGGUAGGACUGGUGACUGGGGUGAAGUCGUAACAAGGUAGCCGUACCGGAAGGUGUGGCUGGAUCACCUCCUUUUUAGGGAGACCUAAUCCAUUGAGAAAUCGAACACAAUCAGUAAUUAGAUUCUUAAUUGGUCUAUCCUAGGUCGGUCAAGAUUGGUUGAAAACUUUCAAAGAAUUAUUAUUGGGUUGGUGAGACUGAAUUAAAUUGGAAAAGAGUCAGCCACUGACAAUUAGGCAGACUGCUGGAUAAAAACCAGCCAAAACCUUGAAAACUGCAUAGUAACGCGUAUUAGCAGGCAGACGAAACUGAGUACUGAGGAAAGAGUACCGAGGGAUGAGCUUUUCACUCAUUGGGGAGUACGAAAGAAACAGGAAAGCAGAUAAGUUUGCGAGUCGAAAAAAUGUAAUGAAGUGGUCAAGCCAAUAAGGGCUAAUGGUGGAUACCUAUGCACACAUAGGCGAACAAGGACGUGGUUACCGACAAAAUGCUCCGGGGAGUUGGAAGCAACUAAGAGCCGGAGAUAUCCGAAUGGGGCAACCCUAUAUACUACCUGCUGAAUAUAUAGCCACGUAUGAGCCCACCCAGCAAAAUGAAACAUCCUAAUAGCUGGGAGUAGAGGAAUCAAAUUAGAAAUCCCCUAACUCGUGGUGAGCCAAGGGGAAAACCCUAAACCAAAGGGUUACCUUUUGGGGAGUGCGACACAAUAUCCAUCGGGGGGUAAACAAACUACUAAUACUUUCCCGAGGGGGGAACUCCUGUUUCCUAAGCAAAGAAGGACCGAAACCAACCCCGGGGCAAAGAUCCCUUGUGAAAAGAGAACCCUCGAUGUCAUAUCUGGGGCCAAAGGAACCCUCCCGGGGAGUUAUAGCCCGGAGGGGGAAAAUGGACUUUUUCACCGGGCCCUAAGGAACUGCUUAAAAAACCAAAACCAAU